rnacentral:rRNA from 1 species
CCUACGGGAGGCAGCAGUGAGGAAUAUUGGUCAAUGGACGAGAGUCUGAACCAGCCAAGUAGCGUGAAGGAUGACUGCCCUAUGGGUUGUAAACUUCUUUUAUAUGGGAAUAAAAUGUUCCACGUGUGGGAUUUUGUAUGUACCAUAUGAAUAAGGAUCGGCUAACUCCGUGCCAGCAGCCGCGGUAAUACGGAGGAUCCGAGCGUUAUCCGGAUUUAUUGGGUUUAAAGGGAGCGUAGGUGGAUUGUUAAGUCAGUUGUGAAAGUUUGCGGCUCAACCGUAAAAUUGCAGUUGAAACUGGCAGUCUUGAGUACAGUAGAGGUGGGUGGAAUUCGUGGUGUAGCGGUGAAAUGCUUAGAUAUCACGAAGAACUCCGAUUGCGAAGGCAGUUCACUGGACUGCAACUGACACUGAGGCUCGAAAGUGUGGGUAUCAAACAGGAUGAGAUACCCCAGUAGUC